rnacentral:rRNA from 1 species
CGUUGGAUGAUUGAAGGGAGUUGCUCCUAGUACGAGAGGACCGGAGUGAACGAACCUCUGGUGUUCGGGUUGUCACGCCAGUGGCACUGCCCGGUAGCUAAGUUCGGAAUCGAUAACCGCUGAAAGCAUCUAAGCGGGAAGCGAGCCCUGAGAUGAGUCAUCCCUGACCCCUUGAGGGUCCUAAAGGGCCGUUGGAGACCACAACGUUGAUAGGUGGGGUGUGUAAGCGUAGCGAUACGUUGAGCUAACCCAUACUAAUUACCCGUGAGGCUUAACCAU